rnacentral:rRNA from 1 species
AUUGAACGCUGGCGGCAGGCCUAACACAUGCAAGUCGAGCGGAUGAAGGGAGCUUGCUCCUGGAAUCAGCGGCGGACGGGUGAGUAAUGCCUAGGAAUCUGCCUGGUAGUGGGGGAUAACGUCCGGAAACGGGCGCUAAUACCGCAUACGUCCAGAGGGAGAAAGUGGGGGAUCUUCGGACCUCACGCUAUCAGAUGAGCCUAGGUCGGAUUAGCUAGUUGGUGGGGUAAAGGCCUACCAAGGCGACGAUCCGUAACUGGUCUGAGAGGAUGAUCAGUCACACUGGAACUGAGACACGGUCCAGACUCCUACGGGAGGCAGCAGUGGGGAAUAUUGGACAAUGGGCGAAAGCCUGAUCCAGCCAUGCCGCGUGUUUGAAGAAGGUCUUCGGAUUGUAAAGCACUUUAAGUUGGGAGGAAGGGCAGUAAGUUAAUACCUUGCUGUUUUGACGUUACCAACAGAAUAAGCACCGGCUAACUUCGUG